rnacentral:lncRNA from 10 species
CAGAAACUUAAAUACCAUCGUGAGUGUAGGAGAGAGAAGCACCUGUGUCCAAUGGGAAAUACCCAAUCGGAGUUUCCAGGGAAGGAAAAGUACAGAAGCCUUCUAGUAAAAGAUUCUUCCUAGAAAAGAAAAUAGAUCUAAAUUCAUUCAGAAUCCUAAUUGAAAGACAAAUGAAAAGAUUCUACUACUGUGCAAGAAAACCUUCUAAUUCAGAACAAUUCCAUACAUUAUGUUACUUAAGAGAGAAUAAGAUGAGUUUAAAAGUUGGAUGUCCUGGAAUAAUUAAGAGAAGCUUCUAUGAUUGCCAACAGUGAAACCAGAAACACAACAUACUACUUGAUAAGUGAUUAAACUCUCAUAAGUUCUGUUUGUGUAAAUUCUGCUUGGGUGGCAGUUUCCUGUAUGAUUGAACUAAUUUUUGCAUGCAUUAGCCUAUGCUUUUUGGAGCUAUAAAUAGAACUGUACAAUUUUUAUUGAAAUAUACAUAAGUGAAAGUCAUGGUUUUAAAUAUACAAUUUGUAUUAGUCCACUUUUAUACUGCUAUGAAAGAAUACCCGAGACUGGGUAAUUUAUAAAGAAAAAAAGGCUUAAUGGACUCACAGUUCAGCAUUGCUGGGGGCUUCAGGAAACUUACAAUCAUGGCGGAAGAGGAAGCAAACAUGGCCUUCUUCACAUGGUGGUAGCAAGGAGAAGUGCUGAGCCAAAGGGGGAAAAGCCCCUUAUAAAACCAUCAGAUCUCAUGAAGACUCACUCACUAUCACGAGAACAGUAUGGGGGAAACCGCCCCCAUAACUCAAUUAUCUCCACCUGGUCCCACCCUUGACAUGUGUGGAUUAUUACAAUUCAAGGUGAGAUUUGGGUGGGGAUGCAGAGCCAAACCAUAUCAUAAUUCAAUGAAUAUUCUCAAAUAUGUAUAAGUAGGUAUGCAUUACCAACACCAGAAGAAAACAUGAAAAGUGUAUUCCUACCACACCAGAAAAAUGACUUUCUGGUAAACCCCUUUUAUGCCCAGAGGCAGACAUGAUUCUGUCAUUUAACAUCCCAGGUUAGCUUCUUUGCUCUUGAAAUUUUUUAUGAACAGCAUCUUAUAGUAGGCAUUUUUUUUUCUCCAGCCCCUUUUACUACACAUAAUGUUUAGGGGAUUCAUUCACUUUGUUGUGCCUAUUACCUUUCUUAAAACAUUUUAACUAUUGAACAGCAUUUCAUUAUAUGAAAAACAUUGCAGUGUAGCUGCGUAUUCUCCUAUUAAAGGGCAUUUGGCUGCUUUUACCUUAAGGCCUGUACGAAACAAGUUGAAAUGAUAAUUCAUGUGUGUGUCCAUAAACACCUACGUGUAGAAUGAAGUGGUCAUGGGUGUAUAUGUGUGUAAUUUGUUGUAUGUAUAUAUAUGCCCAUGAACGUGGUCAAAAUGGGCAAAUAGUUUACAAAUAAAUACAGAUACAAUAGGAAAUAUGUAUGUGGCAUAUGUGUGUGUGUGUGUG